rfam:Loxodonta africana unplaced genomic scaffold scaffold_9, whole genome shotgun sequence.
GGCCUCCAGAUAGUUUUGCUUGGAUGUCUGGGGCAGCCACGUGGCCAUACCUUCAACGCCCUGCGAUGUCUUUGCCCUGAGUCAGCCAGAAAGUGACUUACAGCAGAAAACAGGGCUUACUUCUGCCCCAGGGAGGCCCCUCAGUGUAAACAGUGAGAAGUUCUGGGCAGUGUACACAAGGCCAGACUGUUGGGAAAGG